rnacentral:lncRNA from 1 species
GAUGCAAUUAGUUAAGGAUCUUGGGUAGAAAUCAUUCUGGAUUUAGAGUGGGCUCUAAAUCCAAUGCUGAGGUCCUUAAGAGAAGACCCAGUGAACAAGGUCAUAUGAAAUGGGGGCAGAAGUUGCAACUAUGCUGCCACAAAGCAAGGACUGACUAAGAUCUCCAGAGUAUGCAAGAGGGAAAGGAUUCUUCCCUAGAGCCUGCAGAAGGAACAUGGCCUACCUAGCACUUCAAUUUCAGACUCCUGGUCUUCAGAACUGUGAGAAAAUAAACUUUGACCAUUAAGCCUCCAAGUGUAUGGUACUUUGUUACGCAAUCUUAGGAGACUAACACACAUGGCUAAAAAUGUGCAAAGAAUUCUGAGUAUCAAACAUGUGGAACUUGUAGUUUGCCUAAAAUCAGCCCAAGAGUUCUGAGAAAAAUAUAUAGUCUAGUAACAGGUUCUUUUUUGUUGUUGUUGUUUGUUUUUUGAUACCAGGGAUUGAACUCAAGGGCACUCAACCAUUGAGCCACAUCCCCACUCUAUUUUAAAUUUUAUUUUGAUAUAGGGUCUCACUGAGUUGCUUAGGCCUUCCCUAAGUUGCUGAAGGUGGCUUUGAACUUGUGAUCCUCUUGCCUCGGCCUGCUGAGCUGCUGAGAUUACAGGUGUAUGCCACUGCAUCCUGCUCCAUUUUACGGAUUCUUAAUCCCAUGCCUACAUUUCAGGAAUAUAUUUCUUUGUGCUAGAAGUGUUUAUGAGGUUACAAUUUUUUUUUCCCAUUUACUGUCCACUCCUCUGCCCCUCUUGAUUAAUGGAUAUUUAAUGAUGGGGAAAAUCUUAAAAGGUGAACAGAAAAACAGAUAAGAAAAAAAAAUUGGUUGGAUAUUCCCCUACAAAGAAUGAAGAUUUGGUUUUGUUCUUAUUUAUACCAUUUACUAUUCUAAUGGGGAAAAUAAAGGCUUUCCAAUACUUUCAAAGCAGGAAAGUGAUCUUUACUGAUUACAUUUUGGUCUACAUAACAAAAUUAACCACUUUAAAGUAAACAAUUUCAUGGCUUUUAUAAUUCUGUACAAUUGUCACCUCUAGUUCAAAAACUAGACCUUUUUGUGUCUGGAUUCUUUGACUUUAAUGACGUUGUCUUGUACUUAGCAUAAUGUUUUUGCUGUUCAUUUCUAUUAUAGUGUGUUUACUAGGAUUUUAUUUCUUUUCAUGGCAUAGUAAUAUCCAUUUUACAUAUAUACCACAGUUUUUCUGUUCACCUAUUGAUGAAUAUUUGAGCUAUUUCUACUUUUUGACUAUUGUGAACAGUACUAUGAAUAUGUAGAUUUGAGUAACAAUUUCCAGUUCUUUUGGAUAUAUACCUAAAAAUGAAAGUGCUGAAUCAUAUAUUAAUCCUACAUAUGACCUUUUGAGGAACUGCUGAAUUUUUCCUCAGCUGAACCAUUUUACAUUUCUGUUAAUAAUUAACGAGAGUUCCACUUUCUUCACCUUCUUUUGCCAUACAUCACUGUGAGAUGGGUGGGGUCCCAAAUGGUUUACUGGGUAGAAAAUGCCUUCAGAUAUGAGAAUAGUAAUGCAUGGAAGAGCAAAAUAGUGGAUAUAUCUAUUUAAUUUGUACAUUAUAGUGCAAUUAGCUCUGUCACACAGAUUGGGGAAUCCAGAGCUUGUUGAGAUAAAUAGAUGGGCUCAUUCUGAGAAUUGAUGUGGCUCUCAUACAAAUUGAGUUAAACAUUGCAGCAAUGGAAACGAGAAAGCUUCCAGUGUACAGUUUUACAAGCAGAAAAGAGCUAAAUUCAGGGUUGCUGUGAGGAAGAAGUAGGUGACAUCAAGAUCAGAGUAGUGGAGUUGAAGACUUGUGGACUGGGAGCCCAGGCAAAACCUGGUUUCUGCAUGAGCCAAGAUUGCUGAGAAAAAGUCCAGCCUGAGCUCCAGUUUCUGUUAUAUUUUGGAUGAGGGCCAAAUGCUUUAGAAUCAACAUACAUUAUGUAUUGGGGAUUGAACCCAGGGCCUCAUGCAUGCUGGACAAACAUCCUACCUCUGAACCUUCUUGCCAUACUUCUUGGCAAUCUUUCUAACCUCUUCUACUCUCACAUAUGCUAGACUAUAACCGCCAACUCAAAAUUCCUCAGGAGUCAAUUUUUCUUUUUCGUACCUAUUUGACCCUGUUAUAUUUUUUUUUCUGACUGAAAUACUUUUGUCCAUCUGAUUAUCAAAUGUCAUCCCAAAUUUCACUAGCUCCCAAACCAUGCUGUGCUUCUGAAGAAUCUUGUAACAUUUGUCAUGUGCAUUGGAAUGAGCUGUUUAUAAAUCUGUCUGUGUGGCAGAUGCUACAGUUUGGCUCAUUCAACAUGUGUUUCCAACCAUCUUCUUAUUUAGAUUGCUCUAUAUGAAAGUCAGUAAACAAUAUAAUUGUACUUCCCUUCCUAAAAUCCAUUGCAGUCAGGGUUGGCCACAUGACAUGGCUUUGGCCAAUAAGAUUUAGGUCAGAGCACAGUCAUAUCAAUGUUUAUAGCAGCACAAUUCACAAUAGCUAAACUGUGGAACCAACCUAGAUGCCCUUCAAUAGAUGAGUGGAUAAAAAAUUGUGGCAUAUAUACACAGUGGAAUAUUAUUCAGCAAUAAAAGAGAAUAAAAUCAUGGCAUUUGCAGGUAAAUGGAUGGAGACAGAGAAGAUAAUGCUAAGUGAAGUUAGCCAAUCCUAAAAAAACCAAAUGCCGAAUGUUUUCUCUAAUAUAAGGAGGCUGAUUCAUAGUGGGGUAGGGAGGGGGAGCAUGGGAGGAAUAGACGAACUCUAAGAUAGGGCAG